rnacentral:rRNA from 1 species
GUGGUAAUGCCGGAUGCUCCAGUUGACCGCAUGGUCUUCUGGGAAAGCCUUUGCGGCAUGGGAUGGGGUCGCGUCCUAUCAGCUUGAUGGCGGGGUAACGGCCCACCAUGGCUUCGACGGGUAGCCGGCCUGAGAGGGCGACCGGCCACAUUGGGACUGAGAUACGGCCCAGACUCCUACGGGAGGCAGCAGUGGGGAAUAUUGCACAAUGGGCGCAAGCCUGAUGCAGCGACGCCGCGUGAGGGAUGGAGGCCUUCGGGUUGUAAACCUCUUUUGUUAGGGAGCAAGGCAUUUUGUGUUGAGUGUACCUUUCGAAUAAGCACCGGCUAACUACGUGCCAGCAGCCGCGGUAAUACGUAGGGUGCAAGCGUUAUCCGGAAUUAUUGGGCGUAAAGGGCUCGUAGGCGGUUCGUCGCGUCCGGUGUGAAAGUCCAUCGCUUAACGGUGGAUCCGCGCCGGGUACGGGCGGGCUUGAGUGCGGUAGGGGAGACUGGAAUUCCCGGUGUAACGGUGGAAUGUGUAGAUA